UUUCCAUCUCUUGUCUCUUACAAUUCCAAUUUCUCUCGCGCUCCCAUCUCCUCCUCCACUGACGACGUCGUUUGGUAAGCAACCACACAUUGCUAAUUAUUAUAUGAUUCAUAAUAGUGAAGAUUUUAGUAGUAUUUACUUUAGUUGGAUGAUUUAUAUUUCCAAACAUAUAAAAGUAGCAGCUAGCUAACAUAAGAUACAAAUGCUCUGAUUUAUAGAUAACCUAUCUAUGUACAUGACUGAUGAUAUGCAAAGAUGAAUUAAAUAUACAAUUUCACAAAUUUUGAACAAGACAAGAUUUGUUUGCAACUCAAUUUCAACUCCACGUAUGUUAAUUUCCCAUGUAUACAAAAUGUUAUUCCUCCUAAACCAAAUAAUUUUAUUUCAAUCACAAAUUUAUCUCUUGACUACACUAAAGUCACAUAAUAGAAAAGUAGAGAGUCCAUUUCCUUGCAAUUUUGGCAUGGCAUACAACCACUUGUAAAUCAAGUACCACGCACGAAAAUAACAAUUAAAAGCAAAAAAAUAACAUUCACCCCAAUUAACAUCAUCACCUUAAUAUACUGUGGCAAAUUUUGAUCUCCAACUAUUUCAAAUUUUGUAUCUGUCUCAUUAGAUUUGUCAACAUGAUCGACCUUUGGGGGCAUAAUGUUGAAGGGGUCGAUCUUUGGUGACAUAAUGUUGAAGGGGUCGACCUUUGGUGACACAUUGUUGAAUGGGUCGACCUUUGGUGGCACAAUGUUGAAGGAGUCGACCUUUGGUGACACAUUGUUGUUGUCGUUGACCUUUGGUAGCACUUUGUUGUUGUCGUUGAUGUCACCGUCGUUGUUAGUAUGUUGAACAACAGGGUAAUUGUGAAUGUAAUUGUAAUUGUAAUUGCAAGUAACACCAUGUUCAGCAAAAAGAUGAGAUGAACUAUCAUCUUUUUUAUGCUUUGAUGGGUUUCCCUUAUUACAAUUAUCUUUAACACAACCCUUUUCAGAACCCUCCUCAGUAUGAC
rnacentral:lncRNA from 1 species